CCUACGGGAGGCAGCAGUGGGGAAUAUUGCACAAUGGGCGAAAGCCUGAUGCAGCCAUGCCGCGUGUAUGAAGAAGGCCUUCGGGUUGUAAAGUACUUUCAGUUGUGAGGAAGGGGGUAACGUUAAUAGCGUUAUCUCUUGACGUUAGCAACAGAAGAAGCACCGGCUAACUCCAUGCCAGCAGCCGCGGUAAUACGGAGGGUGCGAGCGUUAAUCGGAAUUACUGGGCGUAAAGCGCAUGCAGGUGGUUCAUUAAGUCAGAUGUGAAAGCCCGGGGCUCAACCUCGGAACUGCAUUUGAAACUGGUGAACUAGAGUGCUGUAGAGGGGGGUAGAAUUUCAGGUGUAGCGGUGAAAUGCGUAGAGAUCUGAAGGAAUACCAGUGGCGAAGGCGGCCCCCUGGACAGACACUGACACUCAGAUGCGAAAGCGUGGGGAGCAAACAGGAUUAGAUACCCUGGUAGUCCACGCCGUAAACGAUGUCUACUUGGAGGUUGUGGCCUUGAGCCGUGGCUUUCGGAGCUAACGCGUUAAGUAGACCGCCUGGG
rnacentral:rRNA from 1 species